GUGCUCCAAUUUCACCCAGGACUCAUGGACUAGACCACAUCGCCAACUGGACUCCAGUCACCGUCAACCCGCCCUAGGGAAAGAAGGCAGGACCCAAGCGCCAGCCCCUGAAACGCUCGGGGAGACAGCGGAACCAGCCAGGCCUGCAGAUGAAGGCAAGGAAGGCUUCCAGGACCAGCCUGGAUGCAGCCCAGCAUGUGGGGGGGCACAGGACCAUCACCCACAGUGAGGCAAUGAGGGUGACUGCAGCGUCACUGUGACAGCAACUGGCUGGUCACCGGGAAGACAAUGCUCCUUAUGUUAUCGGGCUGCUGGGGGCUGGUCCCCAGUCUGAUGUCCAGGACAGCUGUCACUGGGAGGCCAGCAGGAGACCCCCCUGGAGGAGCCUCUUGGGCCACCGAGCCCUCUGCUCCGAGUCCUAGGUGUGUGCCACGCAGGCCAAUCAGAACRCUGUCAGCUCGAGCCUGCCACACCUGCAUUCUCCUCCCAACUCAUCAGGGGACAAGCCAUAGCUGCCCACAGAGCCCUCCCCAUGUGGGGACAGGUAACCUGGCUGCCUCUUUAAAGGGACAUGUCAGCAUGUGCGGAGCCCCUCCGUCCAGCACUGAGCCAGGCCGCAGAGCCGCACUGGAGGAGACCUUCCUCCCCUCGCAGGAGAGCCGCACGCCUGCUUGGUGUCUGGGCACCCGGCUUGGUACCUCCCACCCUCACCUCCCGGAACGUCACCGUGGUUCAAAGCACGUCCUGCUCCUUCCUGACCCAGUUGGCACCUUUCCUCUCCAUCUCUCCCACUCUGCUCCCCCAGGAAGGUCAACGUGGCUCCCCGAACCUCAGCUGCUCCCCAGGGCGCAGCCAAGACCCCCAGCAUCAGCCAGUGUGCCUGAGCUGGGAGCCUAAUGGGACCGUCCACCUCAGAGGCACCAAGGGCAGCUGGAAGGCCGGGGGCAGCGUCCCGACAGCCUGGGGCGAGAAGACCUGAGCACCCACAGAAGCAGGGAGGGGCCUCUGCGACGGCAGAGGGGCUCCCAGGGCUCGGUGGCUUGCUCUCUGGGGCCCCAGGAAGGCAGGUCGAUCCUGGGGUGUCAGUGGGGCACAGCUACCGAAGAAGCCACAUGUCAAAGCCGCACACUGCAGGACUGUCACCACGGGGAACGUCCAGAAAGGCAAAUCCUCAGGGACAGGAAAAGGGCAGCAGCUCCCAGAGGCUGAGAGAGUCAGGGACACUGCCAACCGGCACUGGGCCUCCUUUUAGGGUGACAAAAGCGUUCCACAAGGAGACAGUGGGGACAGGUGCAGGACACUGACAAUUAYUAAAGGCCAUGUUGCUGUGGGGACAGACGCAGUGGUGCCUGGGAUGGGUCCCGGCCGCGUCUCUGGUCGUCACAUCCCUAACCAGCUCCUGUGGACAGGACCAAAGGCGUCCCAGGAAGAGGGUCCUCGCCUCGCCUUCUGCCCACAGGCCCAAGGGGUGGGCGUCCUUAAAUUCCUGUUAGCAACAAAGGUCACGGAUGCAAAACGCCACCAGGAAGUGUCUCCAGCUGCUGCUCCCAGGGUUUUCGUCCCAGCCCCAGCUCCUCCCAUGGAGAAGCAGGUCUGAAGACCCACGACCCAGGCACACUCCCGCCCUCCUGCAGGGGCCCCGACGGAGGAUGGUGACCCCAUGGCCACGUCAACCAAGUGUGAACACACCAGCACCUUUCAGAAGGAAUGGGACACAGAGGGAGGGGUGCACCCUGAGGGGCCACCAACGUCAGUGGCUUGCCUGUGACGGACGCACAACUGACAGGUCGUGUGCACAAGAAGUACCUGGUGCAGGCUCUGGGGUGGGCACAAAGCCAGCCCCCAAGAGCAGAUGGUUCUACUUAAAUCAAACCACACACAGCAUGCAGAGCAGGACCCCGGGUGCCGGGAGACACCACGCACCCCGAAAACCAAGACCAGGCUGGGGGAGCAGCCAGCGGGAGGGUACUUCCCAGCACCCGCUGGGCCCUGGGUCCCACGCCCAGCACUGCGUGUGCACAGACACACCACACACACACA